rnacentral:rRNA from 4 species
GAGAGUUUGAUUCUGGCUCAGGAUGAAUGCUGGCGGCGUGGAUAAGGCAUGCAAGUCGAACGAGCUUUCUCCGCAAGGAGAAGGUGUAGUGGCGAACGAGUUAGUAACACCUUGGUACGUACCCUUUAGUCGGGCACAACCAGCCGAAAGGUUGGCUAAUUCCCGAUAGUCCCUCACGGGUAAAGUCGCAAGACGCUAAAGGAGCGGCCUAGGUCCUAUCAGCUUGUUGGCGGGGUAAAAGCCCACCAAGGCUAUGACGGGUAGGAGGCGUGAGAGCGCGACCUUCAACGGCGAUACUGAGAAACGGAUCGCACACCUACGGGUGGCAGCAGUCGAGAAUAUUCGACAAUGGGCGAAAGCCUGAUCGAGCGACGCCGCGUGCAGGAAGAAGUCCUUCGGGAUGUAAACUGCUUUUGCGUGGGAAGAACUUUGACGGUACCACGAGAAUAAGGGGUUCCUAACUCUGUGCCAGCAGGAGCGGUAAUACAGAGACCCCAAGCAUUAUCCGGAAUUACUGGGCGUAAAGCGCGAGUAGCCGGUUGCAUUAGUCUGAUGUUAAAUUUCAUGGCUUAACUGUGAAACCGCAUCGGAAACGGUGCGACUUGAGCAGCUGAGAGGUACGCGGAACGUGCGGUGUAGGGGUGAAAUCCAUUGAUAUUGCACGGAACACCAAAAGCGAAGGCAGCGUACUGGCAGUUUGCUGACGGUCAAUCGCGAAAGCGUGGGGAUCAAAAAGGAUUAGAUACCCUUGUAGUCCACGCCCUAAACUAUGCAGACUAGCUAUUGGGAGCAUCGACCCUUCCAGUGGCGUAGCUAACGCGUUAAGUCUGCCGCCUGGGAAGUACGGCCGCAAGGCUAAAACUCAAAGAAAUAGGCGGGGAUUCGCACAAGCGGUGGAUCAUGUGGUUCAAUUCGACUAUGAGCGAGGAACCUCACCAAGGCUUGAAAUCCAGCUGCAAGCUUUCCGAAAGGAGAGCCGCCUACGAGGGUGCUGGACAGGUGCUGCACGGCUGUCGUCAGCUCGUCAUGUGAAAUAAUAUUCGCAUCCCCAUAUGGCAACAUAUGGGUGCAACCAGCUCAUAUUGGGGAAGCCCUAACGGGUAAUCCCAAGGGAAGUCUCCGGCAAUUGCCGGAUGACCCCUUAACGACUCAAUCAAUUAAUCGAUUGGAUGAUACUCGAUGAGGCUAAAUGCUGAUGGGGUAUCAUAAAACGCUGGCCUCCCUAUGGGAGGAAGGUAUAGUCUAAGUUUUUCGUAUAUUAAAGAAAAACAGGAAUGGUUUCCUUAAGUGGAUUAACGAGCGCAACCCCCAUCGUGUGUUAUACGUGUCACACGAAACUGCUUUCGCAAGAAAGAGGAAGGUGGGGAUGACGUCAAGUCAGCGUGGCCCUCUGAUGCCUUGGGCUACACACAUGAUACAAUGGGCGUUACAAUGGGUUGCCAAACCGCGAGGUGGAGCUAAUCCCAUCAAAGGCGCCCCCAGUUCGGAUAGGAGGCUGCAACUUGCCUCCUUGAAGCCGGAAUCGCUAGUAAUCGCUGAUCAGAACGCAGCGGUGAAUACGUUCUCGAAUCUUGCACUCAC